rnacentral:rRNA from 1 species
UACGGAGGAUCCAAGCGUUAUCCGGAAUUACUGGGCGUAAAGAGUUGCGUAGGUGGCAUCGUAAGUCGGUAGUGAAAGCGUGUGGCUCAACCACAUAUACAUUAUCGAAACUGCGAAGCUAGAGGACGAGAGAGGUUAUUGGAAUUCCUAGUGUAGGAGUGAAAUCCGUAGAUAUUAGGAGGAACACCGAUGGCGUAGGCAGAUAACUGGCUCGUUCCUGACACUAAGGCACGAAAGCGUGGGUAGCAAACGGG